UUUAAUUUUGUUUAAUAAAACAUCAAGAUACUGUUGUCAUAAUUUAUCAGUUGUAGCAUAGAUCAUAUAAGCUAGCCAGCUACAGGUUUAAUAGGAAAUUAAAACUGGCCAAUAAUGUAGCUGCACCACACCCACUGAUAGUAUAUUCAGUAUAACCCGCUGUGUUGGCAGGUGUGUUAUGCACUUCACACUGUGCACUGCUCGUCUCUGGUCCCGAAAAUACCAACACCAUGCACCAUGUUACACCAUAAUAGCAAAGUAAAACUGCACCACAACUACAGGAAAAGCUCAAUGCAACAAGAGACACACCA